UAUCCCCGGGUCACGACAUAGUGACACACCAGUACUACUCUGUCCAUCUCCUUCUUGCCCCCCACCCACACCACCGGCCAAUCUCUCCUCCGACGCCACCAGCACCACCACCCAAAUCCCCUCCGUCGCCAAACAUCCCGGUCACAUCCGGCGAGCCCACGAGCUGUAGACCGCCGCCCUAGCUCCCCCUUCUCCUCCUCUACCUGUGCCACGGCGUGGAACAACCCAAUCUUUGCCCACAGCCUAAAUCCUAGCCGCCAAAGACCCCCGCCACCGGCCGCCUAGCUCCUCCGCCGCCGGCCACUCUGCAAUCUCCCCAACCAUCGGCCCCCUCUCCCUCUUCGACUUCCCUCUCUCCCGCUACCCGCUCUGUCGGCCGUCGUCACCCUCGCCGGCGCCGUCUCGUCUCCUCCAACCCCAGCACGUCCCCUCCGCCUGUACCUCUUCCCCUACUACCCCAGCCGGCCAGCCCGCCCUGGACGAGCCCCUCAGCAGAUCGACGCCCUCUGUCCACGCUUGGCCUUGUACAGGCGGGGACAGCCCAAGCAGCGCGACGCUGGCGCCCGGCGACGGCCGCGGCCGCCGGAGGAACUCCACGCGGGGCAGGGAUCGCGGCCGGGAGGCUGGGAGGACGAGCUGCUGGUCGCCUCCCCGAGGUGUUCCUGCCGGCGUCCUCCCGGAGCUGCUGUUGGGGACUCCCGGUGACCACCUCCUCGAGAUGCCGCUCCUGUUCCCGGCCAUCACAACGACGUGCUGCUCCUGGUUCAAAGCUCAUCACAGAAGGAGGAGCUAAAGGGAGCGAAGCGGGGAUACCGGGAGGCCGCCUCGGAGAGGAAACAUGAGGAGGUGCGGUGGUGAACGUCCUCGGCCAUAUAUGCGAGUGCAGCGGGGAGGCGCUCCGGUGGCUGCGGAUCAUGUCUUCAAUUUUGGUGGACAAUGAGGAGGAGGCGAAGUAGAUGAUGACAACAAGGGUAAGCUAGCUGGAACCUGUAGUUGCUGCAGCCACUUGUGGUGUCCUGUAAGUUUGCCAGGAUGGGAUAGCCGUGCUUAUUGUGCAUCGGCCUAGUGUUGACACUCCUUUUUCUGUUUCCCUGGAGUAUUUAGUCCUCUGGUCCGAGUUUAGUUUUGUGUGUAUGUCACGUAUGAGGAUCGUGGCUAUUGUCUCAACUGAAGAAUAUAUUGUUUGCUGUGCAGGUUUGACUGUCGAAAAAACAGCAAAGGUCAUGUGCUGGUGAGGCGUUUUUAGUUCUUGUGCAAAACAAGUGUCGAUUCCCCUAUGUGGAUAUGUGCUGAUGGAGUAGUAAACAGCCACACAUAUUGAUUCAUCAUGGUUUGCCUUGUGUAGUUGAUCAUGUCCUGAUGCAAUAUGCUAGUAUUUUGUCUGGAGUAGUUUCAAUUGUUGUUGUGUCGAUUUAACAUGCUUAAAUAGUAGAUCGGCAGCCAUACGGAUAAUGUGUGGGAUCUGAUUGAAAUAGCCACGCAGAACAUUUUCACUGGAUGAAUGGUCUUCCAUGUUGACUGAUAUGUUCAUGUAUGUUCCAGUUAAGUUGAAUGCUUGCUCGAUGUAGAUGAAUUAGUAUCCAUACAUGUUGUCUCUAGAAUCGACCAUGCCAUUGCAUAUGUUGCGGAUGGUUUCUUGCUUAAUUUAGUAUACUGCGCACUAACACAUUUAUCAUGUUUUGUUUUUUGCAAGGACAAUGAGGAGGAGAAGUAGAUGAUGACAACAAGGGUAAGCUAGCUGGAACCCGUAGAUGCUGUAGCCAGCUGUGGUGUAUGUAAGUUUCCCAUGAUGGGAUCGCCGUGCUAUUGUGCAUGGGCCUAGUGUCGGCACUCCUUGUUCUGUUUCCUGGAGUAUUUAGACCUCUAGUCUGAGUUUAGUUCUAUGUGUGUAUGUCACGUAUGAGGGUUUUGGCUAUUGGCUCAACUGAAGCAUAUAUUUUUCGCUGUGCAGGUUUGACUAUCAAAAAAACAGCAAAGGUCAUGACGAAUUUUUGAACGAGGCUGCUUUAAUUGAUUUAGAAGACGUUGCUGGUUUCCCUGUCUCGGUUGGCUGGCUGGCUGCGUUUUGUGUUGGUGCGGGCGGGCGCAGCUAGCCAACGGUGAAGCCGGUGGCGGCUUGUAUAUCCGUUAUGAUAGGGGUGCUUGGGUUCAUCUGCAGCCUGUUGGUAGCAGGGAGUAGCUUGAUGCGUGAAGGAUUGGUGAGGCAGCACUAGAUAGUGCACAGCUUGUUUUCUUGUUAUAAAGAAGAAGAGGACGAAUGCAUCCUUGUAAACGUUGAUGGUUUUCCUGUUGUGGCUGACCCGUUAUGUUUUGUGCAGGUGCAGGUGCGGGUGCAGGCAACUAACCGUUAAGCACAUGCAUGGUGUAGGCUUAGCAAGUAAUGGUCCUGACUGAUGACGAAGAGCGAUUGUUGUUGUAAUACACAGUGUAUCAGUCCCCCUGUUUCCUAAUUCAUAGCGAUUGUUGUUGUAAUAUGCAUGGUAUCAGUCCCUCUGUUUCCUAAUUGUUGCCGCAAAAUGUUGUUUGGUGUGGUCUGUGAUGGAGGUGGUUUUGUUUGA